AAUUAGUGAUCCAAGUUGGCUUGGAAAAAACCUGCUGUCUAAACCACAAAGCUGUUUUAUUCUUUUUUUCAACUCAACAUUAAAGUAAGUACUCAUUCUUUAAAAAGACCAUUUGAGAGCUGAAGUGUAAAUAACUAUUUAUUCCAGUUCUCUGGAGGAAAAUGUAUCUAGUUUAGGCAUUGAUUUAGCCCUGAAAAUUAUUUGUCUGUAAUUAUAAAAGACAUUCAGGAAGAAAAUUAAUUAAUCUGAUAGUCUACUAGGGAUUUAUAUUUGUCAAUGUCAAUAUAGUAGGAACAAGUUGGAGGAGUUAACAAGCUAUAACUUGUCCUGAGGGAAAUUCUUUGACAUGAAACAUCUUUUGGUAUGUUAACAUCCUAAAGAAUGCAGUCUACAAGAACCACGUGGGAUGGAGAAGCAUGUCAAAAAGUAUGCAAGUGUCACCAAGCUGCUUUAACAUUUAACUGUGCUGGUGACAACACCUUCUAACUGGCUUAGAUGUGACAGGGUAGGAAAAGGCAGUUUUAUUGGUGUUCAAGCACUUGAUUUCUUCAGCGGGAAGGGGUCUUGCUUGGAAUUUCAGACACUGAAAAUAUGCUUUCUGGAAAAAACAGUGGUCAGGGAACUCCUACUGAUCCAUCAUGGAAUGUACAGUUAGUGAAAAUACAGGAGCAGGUAAGACCAGUUAAGUUCAACACAUGAAUGUUUAAACCCUUUGAUCAGCACAGUUAUGUAUGGAAGCACCAAAUCCAUUUGCCUGAAACUGCAACAGCAGUAGACAGCACUCCACAGCCCUUAACAGAUUCCUAUAUGGUUGGUCUCUGAUAACCCAUGCCAAUGCCUCUAGGAGACUGAUGAUCAUGUCAGGCUGUGGUUGUAUCAUACACAACUGACAUCAGAAGGGCAACUCGCCUGGGCUUUAUUGCUGUGUGGUCCAUCCCCUCUCAGCCAGCUGAAAGAUUUUGCCUUAGCCACACAAUCCUUACACCUUUCCUCUUCCCCUUCUGUGCAGGAAAUGAUGACUGGAGUCUCAAGGUGCCUUUAGGAAUUUAACAUUUACUUCCUUGUGUGAAACCAAACAUUGCUGAUUUCAGAACAAUAACUGACUUUCUAACCAUAUUCCUGAAGUAUUGGAAAGUCUUAUUGUCAGGAAGAGGACCUACAAGAACAACAUUUUAUUUCCCAGCUGGAAUCUGAGAAGUCAUAACAAAAAGUGGGGCAAAGCAGCCCUUGGACUAACUUCAAGGGGGAUGACCCAGGGGCCAGCACUGUCAUACUACAUCACAAAUAUGAACAUUGGUAGACUUUGACAGUCUCACACCAGGAGGAGUUUUCAGAG